rnacentral:rRNA from 1 species
AUUGAACGCUGGCGGCAGGCCUAACACAUGCAAGUCGAACGAGUGGCGGACGGGUGAGUAAUGUCUGGGAAACUGCCUGAUGGAGGGGGAUAACUACUGGAAACGGUAGCUAAUACCGCAUACCAUCGGAUGUGCCCAGAUGGGAUUAGCUGGUAGGUGGGGAAACGGCUCACCUAGGCGACGAUCCCUAGCUGGUCUGAGAGGAUUACCAGCCAAACGGGAACUGAGACAAGGCCCAGACUCGUACGGGAGGUAGCAGUGGGGAAGAUUGCACAAUGGGCGCAAGCCUGAUGCAGCCAUGCCGCGUGUAUGAAGAAGGCCUUCGGGUUGUAAAGUACGUUCAGCGGGGAGGCGUUACCCGCAGAAGAAGCACCGGCUAACUCCGUGCCAGCAGCCGCGGUAAUUC